GGUUAAGCGACUAAGCGUACACGGUGGAUGCCCUGGCAGUCAGAGGCGAUGAAGGACGUGCUAAUCUGCGAUAAGCGUCGGUAAGGUGAUAUGAACCGUUAUAACCGGCGAUUUCCGAAUGGGGAAACCCAGUGUGUUUCGACACACUAUCAUUAACUGAAUCCAUAGGUUAAUGAGGCGAACCGGGGGAACUGAAACAUCUAAGUACCCCGAGGAAAAGAAAUCAACCGAGAUUCCCCCAGUAGCGGCGAGCGAACGGGGAGCAGCCCAGAGCCUGAAUCAGUGUGUGUGUUAGUGGAAGCGUCUGGAAAGGCGCGCGAUACAGGGUGACAGCCCCGUACACAAAAAUGCACAUACUGUGAGCUCGAUGAGUAGGGCGGGACACGUGGUAUCCUGUCUGAAUAUGGGGGGACCAUCCUCCAAGGCUAAAUACUCCUGACUGACCGAUAGUGAACCAGUACCGUGAGGGAAAGGCGAAAAGAACCCCGGCGAGGGGAGUGAAAAAGAACCUGAAACCGUGUACGUACAAGCAGUGGGAGCCUCUUAAUGGGGUGACUGCGUACCUUUUGUAUAAUGGGUCAGCGACUUAUAUUCUGUAGCAAGGUUAACCGAAUAGGGGAGCCGAAGGGAAACCGAGUCUUAACUGGGCGUUAAGUUGCAGGGUAUAGACCCGAAACCCGGUGAUCUAGCCAUGGGCAGGUUGAAGGUUGGGUAACACUAACUGGAGGACCGAACCGACUAAUGUUGAAAAAUUAGCGGAUGACUUGUGGCUGGGGGUGAAAGGCCAAUCAAACCGGGAGAUAGCUGGUUCUCCCCGAAAGCUAUUUAGGUAGCGCCUCGUGAAUUCAUCUCCGGGGGUAGAGCACUGUUUCGGCAAGGGGGUCAUCCCGACUUACCAACCCGAUGCAAACUGCGAAUACCGGAGAAUGUUAUCACGGGAGACACACGGCGGGUGCUAACGUCCGUCGUGAAGAGGGAAACAACCCAGACCGCCAGCUAAGGUCCCAAAGUCAUGGUUAAGUGGGAAACGAUGUGGGAAGGCCCAGACAGCCAGGAUGUUGGCUUAGAAGCAGCCAUCAUUUAAAGAAAGCGUAAUAGCUCACUGGUCGAGUCGGCCUGCGCGGAAGAUGUAACGGGGCUAAACCAUGCACCGAAGCUGCGGCAGCGACACUAUGUGUUGUUGGGUAGGGGAGCGUUCUGUAAGCCUGNNNNNNNNNNNNNNNNNNNNNNNNNNNNNNNNNNNNNNNNNNNNNNNNNNNNNNNNNNNNNNNNNNNNNNNNNNNNNNNNNNNNNNNNNNNNNNNNNNGUGAAGGUGUACUGUGAGGUAUGCUGGAGGUAUCAGAAGUGCGAAUGCUGACAUAAGUAACGAUAAAGCGGGUGAAAAGCCCGCUCGCCGGAAGACCAAGGGUUCCUGUCCAACGUUAAUCGGGGCAGGGUGAGUCGACCCCUAAGGCGAGGCCGAAAGGCGUAGUCGAUGGGAAACAGGUUAAUAUUCCUGUACUUGGUGUUACUGCGAAGGGGGGACGGAGAAGGCUAUGUUGGCCGGGCGACGGUUGUCCCGGUUUAAGCGUGUAGGCUGGUUUUCCAGGCAAAUCCGGAAAAUCAAGGCUGAGGCGUGAUGACGAGGCACUACGGUGCUGAAGCAACAAAUGCCCUGCUUCCAGGAAAAGCCUCUAAGCAUCAGGUAACAUCAAAUCGUACCCCAAACCGACACAGGUGGUCAGGUAGAGAAUACCAAGGCGCUUGAGAGAACUCGGGUGAAGGAACUAGGCAAAAUGGUGCCGUAACUUCGGGAGAAGGCACGCUGAUAUGUAGGUGAAGUCCCUUGCGGAUGGAGCUGAAAUCAGUCGAAGAUACCAGCUGGCUGCAACUGUUUAUUAAAAACACAGCACUGUGCAAACACGAAAGUGGACGUAUACGGUGUGACGCCUGCCCGGUGCCGGAAGGUUAAUUGAUGGGGUUAGCGGUAACGCGAAGCUCUUGAUCGAAGCCCCGGUAAACGGCGGCCGUAACUAUAACGGUCCUAAGGUAGCGAAAUUCCUUGUCGGGUAAGUUCCGACCUGCACGAAUGGCGUAAUGAUGGCCAGGCUGUCUCCACCCGAGACUCAGUGAAAUUGAACUCGCUGUGAAGAUGCAGUGUACCCGCGGCAAGACGGAAAGACCCCGUGAACCUUUACUAUAGCUUGACACUGAACAUUGAGCCUUGAUGUGUAGGAUAGGUGGGAGGCUUUGAAGUGUGGACGCCAGUCUGCAUGGAGCCGGCCUUGAAAUACCACCCUUUAAUGUUUGAUGUUCUAACGUUGGCCCCUGAUCGGGGUUGCGGACAGUGUCUGGUGGGUAGUUUGACUGGGGCGGUCUCCUCCUAAAGAGUAACGGAGGAGCACGAAGGUUGGCUAAUCCUGGUCGGACAUCAGGAGGUUAGUGCAAUGGCAUAAGCCAGCUUGACUGCGAGCGUGACGGCGCGAGCAGGUGCGAAAGCAGGUCAUAGUGAUCCGGUGGUUCUGAAUGGAAGGGCCAUCGCUCAACGGAUAAAAGGUACUCCGGGGAUAACAGGCUGAUACCGCCCAAGAGUUCAUAUCGACGGCGGUGUUUGGCACCUCGAUGUCGGCUCAUCACAUCCUGGGGCUGAAGUAGGUCCCAAGGGUAUGGCUGUUCGCCAUUUAAAGUGGUACGCGAGCUGGGUUUAGAACGUCGUGAGACAGUUCGGUCCCUAUCUGCCGUGGGCGCUGGAGAACUGAGGGGGGCUGCUCCUAGUACGAGAGGACCGGAGUGGACGCAUCACUGGUGUUCGGGUUGUCAUGCCAAUGGCACUGCCCGGUAGCUAAAUGCGGAAGAGAUAAGUGCUGAAAGCAUCUAAGCACGAAACUUGCCCCGAGAUGAGUUCUCCCUGACUCCUUGAGAGUCCUGAAGGAACGUUGAAGACGACGACGUUGAUAGGCCGGGUGUGUAAGCGCAGCGAUGCGUUGAGCUAACCGGUACUAAUGAACCGUGAGGCUUAACCUU
rnacentral:rRNA from 1 species